GUUUAGGAUGAUAAAAUCUAUGGAAAGCUCCGAAGGGUUGACUUCGUCACGACUGGCACGACGUGCGUGUGCAUGUUUCUGGAAAUUGCGGGAUUGUUUCUGCAUUGAAGAAUGCAGCAAUGGGAUCGUUGGAACAGUUCCGCCUCUUUCCACGGUGCAAAAAGUCAAACAAAAACAAUGUCGCAGGCUGUCAAGCGUAUGCCAAAGCAACAGUUGGCGCUAUAACUCCAAAUCAUAAGGCCAUUUUGAAGACAGUUACUUCCAUAAAAGGCGCACAAAUAAUAAUAGAAAAUCAAGGAAAAGCUGACUUUUGGACUGAGAGUGUAGUUCAAGUGGAGUCUUAAAUAUUACACUGUUUUUUGAUUGGUUCAUUUCAUUCAACAAAAAUUCCAUUUGCCAUUCGGAAGUGUUGAGCAAAUUCCCACAUUCGCAACAAAAUAUAGCGCAAUCGCUCACGUUGCCCUGACGAUCAACAAACCUGCUGUAAUAAACGCAGCGCCCGUGGCGACCGCACUCCAGCCGUUUGACGCACACGCACAACUUCAUUUACUCACACGCAGUGCGGCAUUUGUGCGCAAACAGCAGGCCACCUGUCAGCCCCGUCAAAGAAGUUCAUCGGCCGGCCCACUGGCGCAGUUCGGGCCGACCGCAUCGCAAGCUCAUUAAGUGGCUGAUGACCUUCAAAAUAAAACAACUUGAUUCAAGGCGCCCGUGCCAGACAAGAGGGCAGCAGCUGUCGCUGCGUCGAAGCUGCGCAAGAAAAUUCCACAGAGGAGUAUUGGUGAAACAUGGAAGAGAAAAAAUACAAGCGUCAGAAAAACGUCAUCUUAUGAGAAUAAAAACAAGUCCGAAGUUCAACUCCAGACAUUCUACAUUCCCUCCCAAACAUAAACGUUUGGGACCGACGCACUCUCUUUCGCUCUCUUGCUCUGCCACAAUCCCAAUUAGACGGUUGGAUUCCUUUCACAGCCAUAAUUAAUAGACGAAAUUAAAUGGCGACGCUUUCUAUUACAUUUCAUCCUCCCUUUUGCAGCGCGUCAAACAACCAAGCCAAUCAUUGCUUCACAAAAAACGAAAUGGCUUCCUGUGGUAAUGUAUCCGAUUGAAUUGACAUUGUUUUUUUCUUUCGAGCUCUCUGGAGUUUUAGCGAUGUUAAUAAUUGACCAAUCAGGUUGCACUAACAAGGCUGUCAGAACGCGUUAGCGUCAACCGCCAAUCACUGCCCGCUGAGUCGUCUCCCGGGGCAACAGUUAGCCAAUGACCUGCAUGAGCGAUGCCUCUGAGCGAUGGCAAUCAAGCGCCACAAGCUGAUACACAAAGUCCAAAUCCGCGCUCAUUGCGGUGCGCGGCGCUCGAAAGCCACGCUAAUCGGGAACAAAGACGCGAGCCGCCAUUAGCGGCCCGAAGCUGCGGGGCAGGAGCGCAGACGCGCACUCUCACCUAUUUCGACACACAUCCAGCUUUGUGCGUCCUUUAAGAUCACCGCUGCCUCCGGCGCGCAAAAACAUCCCGGCAGUCUUUUCAUGCUGCUGUAUUGUACGCCUCCUCUUCCAUCUUAACCUCUUUGUCUCGCCAUCCAUUACACCGCGCUCCUCCUUAACCUCAUUUCCUCGUUUCCACGGCCUUGACAAAACUUUUCAACGUCACCCCCGAUCCUCAAUAACAUACGUACAGUGACGUACGACUCGGAUCUGUCAGGCAAUCAUCGUACAAAUUGAAAAUAUAUCGGUUACGAUCUCAGUGAAUUUUAACACGAGCGUGACCAAAUUCUGAUUGAUUUUGAAAAAAAGCAUCUAUUUGGCAUGUAUUCGUCCACAGCGGUCUGGCUUGCGUCCUAACACCGUCCUCGGUGCAUGUUUUUGGGAUGCGGGAAGAACACGGAGCACCCGGAGAAAACCCACGCAGGUACGGGGAGAACAUGCAAACUCCACACAGGCGAACCCGGAUUUGAACACGCAACCUCACAACGGUGAGGCAGACGUGCUAACCGGUCGGCCACCGUGCCGCCCCGUACAAGAAAGAUUUUGAAAAUAGCUUUGCUCGCCCCACAUGCUUUCAACAAACGUAUAAAAACCCAAAAUGUAUUUGAACAUAAAAGGCUAAAUAGCAAACAUAAAACGGAGAGAAAACACUGCACUGUAGUGUCUGUGUACAUGCUUGUGCCUUUAAGAGGCGGGGCCCGGUGGGGUGGCGUCUGUGCGAGCUCGGGUGUGAGCUGUGGCAGACAGCAGCGCCUGUGUGAGUGUGCUCAUUGCGUGUUUUUCUGUUCUCCUGACAUUCAAUAAACUGCUGAAAGCGCAUCGGCUUUCCCGCAUUCGAGGGCAUUGUCAUAGCGGCGGGCACUAUUUGGACAAAAGCCAUGUUGUGAAAGUUGCCAGUGGCAAAGCAGAACAUAACAGAAAAGCAGUAGUCCAAAUACAACUCAGGACUUUCAAAUGCCACCAACUCGUGAUAUAUAACAGAUUGCAUUCAAGAAGUAGCUCGCCCGACACAAUAUCUGCGGGGGGGCCGAGUGAGCUUCUUGCGGGCACGAGACGGCGGGUUGCCUCUUCACGUGGCCGCCAGUGGAGCCUACGUUAACAACACACUCGCCAAGUGCGCUCCCAUCCGGCCCCCGUCCCACCGCGGACUGCGAAUCAAACACUGACACACUAACGAACACACACACACACGCGCAUGCCGCUCUUAGCUUUCAUUUUCACUGCGCAUGUGAAUGAUCACCAGAGUGCAAACGAACACAGAAAGCGGCCAUCUGCUCCAACACGCGAGUGUGUAGAGCGAGAGGAGCAUAUUCCAGGGAACGCUGCAGCACACAAAGCCAGAGAAGAAAGAUGCUUGUGUGACCGAGACACGCAGCGAGCUAAUCCCAAUUUUAUUUUUCCAGUGGGGAAGUGGAUUAGAGGAGGAUUAGAUUGACCUGAAACCUCACAGUCCUUAAUUGCUGCCAUGGAAACGGCUGUUCUGGCAUCAGCUCCCCCCCACCCCCUGCACUUCAAUUCGAAGCAUCCAUUCUGCUUGACUAGCAGCCGUCAUUAGCGUCAACACACCACCUUUGGGAAGGCAGGGGAGGCGUCACGUGUCACAAGAGCUCAAGAUUGUCGUCCUUGAAAUGGACAUUGGAAGAAGAGAAGCUGAAGGUUGGCCACGGAAAGAAAGAGGAAGCAGCCAAGCCAGACCGAUGGCCUCCAUCUCCCCAAUCAGAUGAUUGGGGGGCCACGACGACCGGGGGAAAUAAAGCAGCAGAUGAUGGAAGACAUUUUAAAACGUGACUUCAAAUAUGUAACGCGCACGCACACGUACGCAUUCGGUUCAAAUCAGCCAUGUCGUGCCCGCAUCCCGAAACUUCUGAACCUCUCUCUACACACACACGGAGCGAGCCGGCUAUUACCUGUGUGGCUUUUGUCUGCACAUGCAGGUUGUCAGGCGAUAAUGCGCCUAAUACGUUUUUCCUCUCCUGGCCUCAAGUCAAGCGCCCCCAUCGACCCCUCAACCUUCAUCAAGCAACACUACGCGAUGUAUUCCGAUAGCGCCGCAUCCCGUCUUUUACGAUCGCUGGCCUUUAUCUUAUAUUAACGGGAAACGUUACCAUGGCGACGAUAACAACCAUAGAUCACGCCAAUGUAUUGUAUUGUGUUGGGGAAAAGAAGAACAAAUAGAGGAAAAACGUGUGGCGUCACCGGUGCUCGGGAGCGGACGUUUUGGGCUUGCCAUCCAAGGAGAGCUUGAGGUACAUUCACGUACUUUUAAUACGAUGCAGCUCGCAAGCAGGCGUAUGUAGCCUAGCAAGCUCCUGCUAGCACUCAUGUUUGUAUGUAAACAUGCCAGCGUUCUGUCUGAUCACGCGCUAAAGCUUCAGUAAACAUCGGUUCGUGCGCAUGAAUAAAUGGCGAGCAAGGGAGGCGAAGCGCCAGUCCCAAUAAGCAAUCUUACUGGUCGACGUCAAGGUGCGCUGUCGGAGAGUUGUCAUUGAUAUGUCACACUACAUGGAAGAUAUCGCAAAAAACAAACAUGCUAGACUUUUCAUUUUAGCGUUGUAGAACUAUCGUUGGGGCCGAUCUGGCAAAUUGUCUGCGAUAGCUAAUCGGGCCAAUAUCGGGCCUAAAAGCUUGUAGGAAUCGGUGUUAGUGUGAAUGCUUGUUUGUCUAAAUGUGCCCUACCUUUGACCGGCGACCAGUGCACGUUGUAAUAAGCCUAUCGCCCAAAGUCUCCUGGGAUAGGCUCUCGCCCAGCCGUGACCCUGAAGAGGUCGACCAGCAGAGAAGAUGGGCGGAUGGAUCAAGACUAGAUGAGAAAUGCAUUACAUAUUAGUCAGCCAUCCAUUUUCUUGUUCAUCUUGUUUUCCUGCUCGGGGUCGCGGGGAACUAGUGUCUCUAUCCCAGCGGACUUUAGGCGACGAUAGGUGGACUACGCCCUCGAAUGGGCGCCAAUCAAUCACAGGGCACAUAUGGAGACAGACGCCAAGGACAAAUUCGAGUCGUCAGUGAAGCCAAGGUGCUCGUUUUUGGAAAGCGGAGAACCUGCAGUCAAGCCACGCCAGAACAGGUAGAACACGCAAAGAGGAAUGUUGCAGCCCGGAUUCAAACCCACAACUUGUCAAUGGUUUGUAAUACCUUUCUAUUGUUUUACAGAAAUGAGAGAAAAUGCAGACCGUGACUUUGCUAUUUUCUUAUUUUUUACAUUUUGACAAAAACAAUCCAUGUCCAGAAUCUUUCAUAUUCUUUGUGAAUACAGACAUGUUUCAUGUUUAUUCAAAUGUGUGCAAAUGGUUACAUUGACUCAAAAUAAUAUCCAUUCAAUAAAUAAAAAUUGACUUGAAGAAAUGGUGCCAGGGUAUUUAUAAUGUUGGUAUUAUGUGGAGACAUACACACAUUAAAUAUACAAUAGAACAAACAUUUUCUAGAUUUAAGAAUUUGUUUACCUAAAAUUUCACCGAGAGGUCAAGUCAUCUUGAAAAAUAAUCGUUAAAAGCAACUCAGAUUUCUCAAAUGUGUCUGUCUUGAAACAAGAACAAUUCUCACAUUGCCUUAUUCUUCCCCAGUUGUUAUCUUUUAAUGACC